GUACCCGCGGCAAGACGGAAAGACCCCGUGAACCUUUACUAUAGCUUGACACUGAACAUUGAGCCUUGAUGUGUAGGAUAGGUGGGAGGCUUUGAAGUGUGGACGCCAGUCUGCAUGGAGCCGACCUUGAAAUACCACCCUUUAAUGUUUGAUGUUCUAACGUUGACCCGUAAUCCGGGUUGCGGACAGUGUCUGGUGGGUAGUUUGACUGGGGCGGUCUCCUCCUAAAGAGUAACGGAGGAGCACGAAGGUUGGCUAAUCCUGGUCGGACAUCAGGAGGUUAGUGCAAUGGCAUAAGCCAGCUUGACUGCGAGCGUGACGGCGCGAGCAGGUGCGAAAGCAGGUCAUAGUGAUCCGGUGGUUCUGAAUGGAAGGGCCAUCGCUCAACGGAUAAAAGGUACUCCGGGGAUAACAGGCUGAUACCGCCCAAGAGUUCAUAUCGACGGCGGUGUUUGGCACCUCGAUGUCGGCUCAUCACAUCCUGGGGCUGAAGUAGGUCCCAAGGGUAUGGCUGUUCGCCAUUUAAAGUGGUACGCGAGCUGGGUUUAGAACGUCGUGAGACAGUUCGGUCCCUAUCUGCCGUGGGCGCUGGAGAACUGAGGGGGGCUGCUCCUAGUACGAGAGGACCGGAGUGGACGCAUCACUGGUGUUCGGGUUGUCAUGCCAAUGGCACUGCCCGGUAGCUAAAUGCGGAAGAGAUAAGUGCUGAAAGCAUCUAAGCACGAAACUUGCCCCGAGAUGAGUUCUCCCUGACUCCUUGAGAGUCCUGAAGGAACGUUGAAGACGACGACGUUGAUAGGCCGGGUGUGUAAGCGCAGCGAUGCGUUGAGCUAACCGGUACUAAUGAACCGUGAGG
rnacentral:rRNA from 1 species